GAUGAACGCUGGCGGCGUGCCUAAUACAUGCAAGUCGAGCGAACACACGAUGAGCUUGUUCCUUUGACGUUAGCGUCGGACGGGUGAGUAACACGUGGAUCACCUUCCUCUUAUUCUUGGAUAAUUUCGGGAAACCGCUUCUACUACUGGCUCAUAUAUUCUACCGCUUGGUUCAAUAGUUAUUGACGGUUUUGCUGUCACUUUUAGAUGAAUCCGCGCCGCAUUAUUUAGUUGGUAAGGUAACGGCGUACCAAGGCAACGAUGCGUAGCCGACAUGAGAGGGUGAUCAGCCACACUGGAACGGAGACACGGUCCAGACUCCUACGGGAGGCAGCAGUAGGGAAUAUUGCGCAAUGGGCGAAAGCCUGACGGAGCAAGGCCGCGUGAGUGAUGAAGGUCUUCGGAUCGUAAAACACUGUUAUUAGGGAAGAAAAAAUGUAUAAGGAAAUAUGCACGUGUUGACGGUACCUAAACAAAAAGCAACGGCUAACUACGUG
rnacentral:rRNA from 1 species